UUGAGACAAGAUGUCACUUGGGGCUGUGGUCAGAGGUUCACACAGUGAGGCCCAUGAUGAAAUUACAUUUUGCCAAAAAGGGUUAAAUUCUUCUUUAAUUUUAUUGAGUGCUGAUUUUGAUAAAUGCCACAUAUUUUCUCCACCAUUCAUUUCAAGGUGAUCUGCCAAUAGAACCUUCCAUGAUGAAUAAUUUGUGGGGUCUAAAACUUUUUU
rnacentral:lncRNA from 1 species